CUAUAAGAUUGUAAGUUUGUACCGCUUGUCUGUAUGUUUUUGAUUUCACAUUGAUAUGUUUUUGUUUAUACCACAUGAGGUGGCAAAAACGCACACGGCCCACCUGAUGGUAAGUGGUUACAACCGUGGUUAAAACCGUAACCAGUACUGAUAGUCAGACAUUAAGCAUAUUCCUAAUGAUCUUACUAAAAUUUAGCCUUUAUGAAACAUCUGCCUGACAAUGGUGAAAAAUGUUGACAGAAUUACUUACAAGUUUUGAAAAUAACUAAAUUUGUUGGUUGUUCUUCUAUUUUUUUAUCUAUUUCUGCGGGGAAUAACAUAAUACAUGACGUGAUGUUUGAUUGUGUUAAAAAUAGUAGUUAUCAGCUGAAAUAUUUAGGACAAAUUCAGAUAGAUAAAUAUAUAAAAAUGAUGCUAUGGCACCUGAUUCUAACCUAUCAGUGGAUGGAUAACCUAUCAGUCCUACGCACGAGCGCUCCGUGUGUGGACUUCUGUUAUUAUUAUUAUUCGAAAAUUGUAUACAUGUGCUAAUCGCGGCAAAAAAUGGUGCAGUGCAAAAAGUGUAAACUGUUUUUAUCAAUGACUAAGGAUGAGGUAUUAAAAUGCAAAGGUGGGUGUGAAAGUGUUUAUCACAAGAAAUGUGUUAGAAGCUCGAAGCAAUUGCAAAGCGAAAUAUGUGAGGAGUGCCAAAAGACUAACACAACAAUGCAGUCGCCGAUUAUUGACACCGACACUGAAAAGAUUACAGUAGAAACACUAUUGAAAGAAAUGAACAAGAAGAUAGAGGUUAUAUUUAAACUAGAAAAAAAUAUUGAUGACCUUGUGGAAACUGUAGACUUUUACGCUGAACAAUACCAAGAAAUGCUGGAAUUUAAAAAGAUCGCGGAAAUCAAGAUAAAAGCGUUAGAACAAAGAAACGUAUACAUUGAGCAAUGCAAUGCUGCAUUAGAAGAACGAGUUAUUAGCCUGGAAAAGAAGGAAAAAGAAAAAAAUGUUGAAAUUGCGUGCCUAAUGAAGAACAAAAACAAUGAAAACAUAAAGGAAGUAGUAAAAGAUGUUGCCGUAAAGCUGAGUUUAAACCCAGAUGAUAUAGAAAGUGUAGAGAGGUUAAGCUCACCAAUCACAACAAAAGUGAGGGUAGCUCGACCAAGCCCGAUUAUAGUGAAGCUGCGAUCCAAGCAAGCCCGAGAUCAAUGGCUCCAGAAACGAAAAGUUCACCUAACUAAUGGCGAUAUAUAUGGAAACGGAAACAAAACGCGCAUAUACCUAAAUGAAGAUUUAACCAAAGGAACCCGCUCGUUAUUCUGGGAAACCAGAAAUCAACUAAAGAACUUGUAUAAAUUCAUAUGGACUCAAAACUCAAAUAUAUUAGUAAAAAAAAGCGAAAACGAAAAAAUUAUACGCAUAAGAAAUGAAAACGACAUUAAAGUCUUGUUAUGCGAUGAAAGAAAAAAUAACAAGGAUAACGAAAACUAAGUAGAUCAACAAUAAUAACACACCAUGGAGCACACUACGCGAUUUCCAUAACAGACAAAUACGAUAACCAAAACAUUGGAUUGGACUUAAAGGACAUUGAAUACGCUAAAUAUGAAAAUUUACACACCUGGUCACAACAAUUCUUGAGUAGCGAUACUAAUAUUAUACAUCUGAACAUUCGUUCUAUACGAAAACACUUUAACGAGUUGCUUGCCCUAUUGAGUUACUGUAUAGCGAAAAGAACAUUAAACGUCAUUGUUCUCACAGAAGUCAAUAUAAAGAGUGAAGAAGUACCGUUUUAUAGGAUCCCUGGUUAUGUGGUGUUUCCUAAUACGAGAGAAACAAAAAGAGGUGGUGGGAUACUGGUAUUCGUAAGAGAUGACCUGCAAUUCACUACACGAACACCCCAAAUACCUCUAAAAGCAACAGAGAUAACGCAUGGAGUACUAAAAACCAAGAUUAAAAAUGUACACAUAUUAUCCAUAUACAGACCACCAAACACAAAUAAGUUAAUUUUCAUCAAGGAACUGGACGAAAUACUAACAUUGAUCCCAUCUACAGAAGAAAUAAUAUUAAUUGGAGAUAUUAACAUUGACAUAUCUCAAGAUAUAAGUACGAGUUUAUGUGCCUACAAGAACGUGUUGUGUAAAAACGGGCUACGAAGCGCGAUACCGACGUCAGAGUCGACGCGCGAGGCGCUCGUGGACGGCCGCCGAGUUACCUCUUCCAAUAUUGACCAUGUGUGCGUGCGAGCAAACGGGCGACCGCUCGACGCGCGCGCGCACUUGCUAACUUGUACCUUAUCAGAUCACUAUAUGGUUGGAAUUAGCUUGAGCACAACUGAUAAUCCUGCAACUACCCACAAAAUAUAUAGAGCCCUAAUGGAGUAUGUUGUUUUCGCUAAUCUACCUUUGGAACACAUACAAGGAGUGCCAAUGCGUCGACUCCUCCGAGGUAUAGGACCAAGGCAUGAAUCCGUAGAUAUCGAAUCUUUCAAAAAAUAUGUUAACGACGAUGAGUAUGAAAAUAUUUUGGGUAAAGUGAAAGAAGAAAUAAGGAAAAAUCAUUAUGUGUCACUUACUGCUUACAUUUGGAAAGACCCCACCUCCACCAACAAUAUAUUAAUCAUCAGUAACCACGGAUUGUCCGAAACAUUUGAGCGAUCUUCUAUGAUAUUAAAAUGCGCCAUUUUUGACGAAAAUGCUCCUGGGGAUGUUGUUUCAGAAAUAUUGAAGACAGUGUGUACCGACCUAAACAUUUCUACCAAACAAGUCCAUUGCAUGAUUCGAGACGAGAGAUCUUCUCUGAAAAGAGUCACGGAACCGGUAUUACCAAUUCAAGAUUUGGAUUGUACUAUUCAUAAAAUACAAACUAUUAUACGAGAAACAUUUCUAUCCGAAGAAAAUAUAACAGUUUUUAAACGAAAAUUUGAUGAAAUUUCGGAGAAUUCUACUACAAAAAGUUUAUCACAAGACAUUAAAGAAGCACUCAACCUGAAUGCAACUGACUGGGAGAGUACGUUUAUCAAGUUUAAGACUCUUUUUUCAAUGGCAGCAAAUUAUUCCAUUAAAACUGGUAAUCUUACCUCGACUUUGGAAGAAAAGUGGGUAGAAACCCGUGAUGACGUCAUGAAAUGUUUUGAUUUAGCCAAUUAUAUGUAUGACUCUCAGGAAUUUUUAUCAUCAAUGUAUCCAAUUUUUAAAGCAAUCACGAUUAGUCUCACUAAAUAUUUGGCACUAUUGCCAGAAGCUAAUAUUUUUGGGGCAGCACUCACAAGUCUAAAAACAAAAUUUGAAACGACAUUGUCUUCUUUGGAACAUAACAAUGUGUAUUUAAUUGCUACAUUUUUAGAUCCCCGUUAUAAGUUUAUAGAAUCAAAUAAUAAUAUUCGAGAUCAAAUUUUACAAAUGGCAAAUACUGAUGAUGGGAUGGAUAUUAUUCCUUCUCCUAACGUGGAAAAUGUGCAAAAGAGAAAAAUAGAUUCCUCUGACUCAGACAUGGCAACACCGAAUAAAAUCAGCAAAGAAUCAGAAAGUAAUGUGUUAAAAAAGUAUUUGAGUAAAUCUGGAGAUGUAACAAUGGACCAAAAAAGCCGCGUUCUGUUAAAGGAAAUAUUUGAUUAUGAAGAUAUGCCGUCUCUCGAUUAUGAUGAAGAUCCACUCGAGUGGUGGAAAAAUUAUGGUCAUAAGUUUAAAAACCUCUCCACGUUUGCUCGUAGGUUUUUGGCACCUCCAGCGGCGAGUGUGGUCAAUGAGCAACUGUUUGGGGAAGGUGGGAGUUUAGAGCUGAAUUCGAAACUAAAGUAUAUAUUUAUGAAACAUAACAUUGUAACAUUUAAUUUUAAUUAUUAAUUAGUAUAUUGUAAUGCUCCAGUAGUUCAAUAAAUCAAAUUUUAUUCUU